rnacentral:rRNA from 1 species
CUACGGGUUGCAGCAGUGAGGAAUUUUGCGCAAUGGGGGAAACCCUGACGCAGCAACGCCGUGUGAGUGAAGAAGGCCUUCGGGUCGUAAAGCUCUGUCAAGUGGGAAAAAAGUCUUUCGGUAAAUAGCCGGAAGGCCUGAUGGUACCACUAAAGGAAGCACCGGCGAACUCCGUGCCAGCAGCCGCGGUAAUACGGAGGGUGCUAGCGUUGUUCGGAAUUAUUGGGCGUAAAGAGCGUGUAGGCGGCUUGGUAAGUCAGAUGUGAAAGCCCUGGGCUCAACUCAGGAAGUGCAUUUGAUACUGCUUUGCUUGAGUAUGGGAGAGGAGAGUGGAAUUCCCAGUGUAGAGGUGAAAUUCGUAGAUAUUGGGAGGAACACCCGUGGCGAAGGCGACUCUCUGGACCAAUACUGACGCUGAGACGCGAAAGCGUGGGGAGCAAACAGGAUUAGAUACCCCAGUAGUC